rnacentral:rRNA from 4 species
ACUUUAAUUGAAGAGUUUGAUCAUGGCUCAGAUUGAACGCUGGCGGCAGGCCUAACACAUGCA